rnacentral:piRNA from 1 species
UCUUCAUUCCUGUUAAUGUAGCUGGACAAC